rnacentral:rRNA from 1 species
AUUGAACGCUGGCGGCAGGCUUAACACAUGCAAGUCGAGCGAGCGGCGGACGGGUGAGUAAUGGUUGGGAAACUGCCUGAUGGAGGGGGAUAACUACUGGAAACGGUAGCUAAUACCGCAUAACAUCAGAUGUUCCCAGAUGGGAUUAGCUAGUAGGUGGGGUAAUGGAUCACAUAGGCGACGAUCCCUAGCUGGUCUGAGAGGAUGACCAGCACCACUGGAACUGAGACACGUUCCAGACUCCUACGGGAGGCAGCAGUGGGGAAUAUUGCACAUUGGGCGCAAGCCUGAUGCAGCCAUGCCGCGUGUGUGAAGAAGGCCUUCGGGUUGUAAAGCACUUUCAGCGGGGAGGCGUUACUCGCAGAAGAAGCACCGGCUAACUCCGUGCCAGCAGCCGCGGUAAUAC